AGUUCUUCGUUGCCGUGGAGAGGGAGGAGUGGAAGUUUGACACUCUGUGUGAUCUGUACGACACGCUGACCAUCACGCAGGCCGUCAUCUUCUGCAACACCAAGAGAAAGGUGGACUGGCUGACGGAGAAGAUGCGCGAGGCCAACUUCACGGUGUCCUCGAUGCACGGAGACAUGCC